rnacentral:rRNA from 1 species
AAUCAACGCUGGCGGCGUGCCUAACACAUGCAAGUCGAGCGCGAAAGGGGAGCAAUCCCCAAGUAGAGCGGCGAACGGGUGAGUAACGCGUGGGUAAUCUGCCUCCGAGUGGGGAACAACAUCGGGAAACUGGUGCUAAUACCGCAUAACAUCGUCGGGUUUUCGGAUCUGACGAUCAAAGCCGGGGACCGCAAGGCCUGGCGCUUGGAGAGGAGCCCGCGUCCGAUUAGCAGUUGGUGGGGUAAUGGCCCACCAAGGCUUCGAUCGGUAGCCGGCCUGAGAGGGCGGACGGCCACACUGGGACUGAGACACGGCCCAGACUCCUACGGGAGGCAGCAGUGGGGAAUUUUCGCAAUGGGCGAAAGCCUGACGAAGCAACGCCGCGUGGAGGAUGAAGGCCU